GAUGAAGAACGCAGCGAAAUGCGAUAAGUAAUGUGAAUUGCAGAAUUCAGUGAAUCAUCGAAUCUUUGAACGCACAUUGCGCCCCCCAGUAUUCUGGCGGGCAUGCCUGUUCGAGCGUCAUUUCAACCAUCAAGCCCUGCUUGUGUUGGGGUCCUGCGGCUGCCCGCAGGCCCUGAAAACCAGUGGCGGGCUCGCUAGUCACCGAGCGCAGUAGCACAUCUCGCUCAGGGCGUGCGGCGGGCUCCAGCCGUUAAAGCACCCACCUUUCGCAAGGUUGACCUCGGAUCAGGUAGGAAUACCCGCUGAACUUAAGCAUAUCAAUAAGCGGAGGA
rnacentral:misc_RNA from 1 species